ACCUCAGUGAUGCCUGGUUACAUCGGGUGAAUCCCAUGUCUUCCCACCCUCACCCCCCAUCACCUCAGUGAUGCCUGGUAACAUCAGCUGCUGCUGCAGAAAGGGAGCAUCCCAGACGACUGGCUGCUUAUUGUGAACAAACUAAUCAAGCAUGUGGGACCUUCAGAAUUCCUGUGGUCUGUAUAUAAGCAAACACCAUUCUCUAACUAAAGAAAGACUUGAAGUAGUGAUGGCAAAGAAGUUUCCAAAUUAAUGGCAGACACUGGACCACAGAUCCAGAAAACUCAGGGAUUACUGAGCAUAAAAACUACCCAAGAAACUCUAUCCCUCGACAUAUCAUAUUAAAACGGCAAUACACCAAAAACAAAGAAAACCUUGAAAAGAGCAGGAGGAACAAAGAGGAACAGCAGCAGACUUUUUAUCCCAAACUGUGCAAGUGAGAAGAGAGUGGGAUGACCACCCACCAGAAUUCUUUGUACAGUGAAAUUGUCCUAUGAAAGUGAAGGAGACACAAAGAUUUGUCAGGAAAAACAAAAACGAGGAAUGUCAACAUUAGCAGAACUACUCUGCAAGGAAUGUUGAAAGAAGUUCUUCACAAGGAAGGAAAAUGAUAACAGGUAACUCCAGCAUGUGGGUAAGGGAAAGGACCACCCAGUAUCCUGAGGCCGGAGGGAAAAGCUGGGGAACGGUUCUGAGGCUGCACACACACGUAAGCCGUCCAGUGUUAUGUGAAGGGAGACUUAACUCCAUUUAAAAUGUGUAUUGCAACUCUAGGGCCACCACCAAACUUUUUUGAAGGGAGUAUAAUUGCUAUGCUAAGGGAGGAGAGAAGAUGGAAUCAUAUAAAAUGCUCCAUUAAAGCCCGAGGAGGCAGAAGAGGGGAAAACCUAAUGCAAGGCCACCUUGAGGCACAGACAGGGCCUCUACCUGCACUGCCCAUUGAACUUGGUGCAGGACCAGCCAGGCCGCUCCAGAAUGGAGUUACUCCUCCAACACAGAAAGUGUACAUGUUGGCCAUGUUAACGCCUACUUCUUUUGCUCAGUUGUUUCACAUUUUAAACGUAUUGCUCCAUGGCAAAGCAUGGACAUUUUAGUCCUUUCCUGAGGUUCUCCCCAAGACAGGCUCUGCCUUCACCUUUUCUUUAAGGAAGCAAAAUAAAUGUUUAUCUAUCUAUCUAUCUAUCUAUCUAUAUCUAUUAUUUAUUUAUCUAUAUAUCAUUCAUCAAUCAGUAUAUUAGCUAUUUAUCUAUUUUUCUAUUUACUUACCUAUUUAUUAUCCAUUAAUCAAUCUCUACUAGUAUAUAUCAUCCACCAAUCAAUCUAUUAGUUAUUUACCUACCUUUCUAUCUAUUUACUUACCUACAUAUCAUCCAUUAAUCAAUCUUUCUAUUAUCUACUUACCUGUCUACCAUCUAUCACCACAAUCAUCUCUUCAGUCAUGCACCUACCCACCUUCCUAUCUAUCUUCCUGCCUUUUUCUCUAUGGAAUGGAUGCUAAUAUUUGAAGACUCGAUGCUUGGAUGAGCCUAUUUCUUCCCCCCGGUCACCUUGACAGGGGUGCAGAGGUCAGGCAGAGCCAGGUGGCCAUGGGGAGCUUAGUUUGGAGCUGCGAGUGUGUCUGUGCUGUCAGACUAUGACAGCAGAACGGAAGUCACAUGUUUAAAUGCCAGGUUAUUUUUAGAUUUCUCCAGCUUUAAUUAACCUUGCCUACAGGUUACACAUUUGCAGUGCUUGAUGAGUUUUUGAACAAAGAAGUUGCCAAAUGCAUUUUGCCCAAACUCUCUCAGCACUGUUUCAAAUAGCACCCCCUCCACAAACACUUCUCCAGCAUUCCACCAUAGAAAGCCUCACUCAUUAAGUAGCUUAGAAAGAGGAUCCCUAAAUGCGUGCCACCCCACACAGUUUCGGAAGGAGCACUGCUGGGGACACGUGGGACUAGUGAUUCGUGUCCAGGGAACAAGGACUGGCUCCAAUUCUAGUUCCUCCUCUGAGUGCCGGGACCUCAGAUACAAGCCUAAGGACCUUUUUGGUUUUCACGCCCAUCAUGCAUCCACUGAGCACCUGCGUGUUUCAGCACAGGGAGGCUGGGCAAGAGGAGAGUUAUUAGAGCGUGUGCGGUUUUCUGGAAAGGACACAGGCUUUGGGAUGAGGUGCCACCAUUUAUUGAGUGCAGCUCUGAGCAGUUACUUACUCUCUCUUUCAGGAAGCAGGGCCACCUGUGAACGCCUGCUGUAGGUAUCUGAUCAUCUUUAGACAGACAUAGUGUUUAUAGACUCCUGAUAUUCAAUUAUGACAAUGGUGCUAUUGGGUAAAUUUCUGGCUGAGAACUUUUGAACCUGAGUUUGUGUUAUGUAACUAACAAGCAACAAAUAUACUAACUUUGUGUAGGAGGGGUUAUAUGUGCAUGUAAUGCAAACCAGCUCCCAGAAGCCGGGAGCCUCAUACUCUGCCAUAAGCAAGCUGGGGACCCAGGAAAGCUGAUGCGCAACAGCCUGAGCCAAAGGCCUGAGGAGGGGAGAACCGGAAGCUGAAGGGCUAAGUCAGGUCUGGGUCAAAAGCCCAAGAACCAGCAGUGCUUAUGUCUGACAUCCAAGGGCAAGAGAAGGGGGCCGUCUUGAAGCACCAUCUUAUAUAAAACUGCUGUUUGAAACGUUUACCCUGCUAUUUUGGCUUCUGUAAACACUUGAUUGCUUAAAUAAUAAGAAAAAUAAGUCCGACAACAGUGAGCUCUCACUUCCUCUCGCUACUCACUCAUUCCUUUUUCCAACACCUGCUCAGCCUCCACCUGACUAGCACGACCCAGUCCUCGGGACUGCAGAGCUGCCGGGGCCAAGUCUCUGGGGGAGGCAGGGGGCACCUGGGAACGCGCAAGUCCCUGUUUUCCCAACGCUCUCGCAAGUCAGACCUGUAAUAAAUCGAAGCAGGAAACUUA